CAAAUUCUAUCCCAGUAUUUUCUUAGUCUGCAUGGAUUUUAUAUGGUGGUGGUGAUAUAAUUUAAAAACAACUUAAGUUUUAAUAAUCUGCAGGUACUCUCAAAGAGCAGUAUUUUGUACUAAGUGGAUCUGUGAUAUGAUAAAUAUGUGAGUAUAAUAUUCAGCUUUAUUUUUUCAUUAACUUGUUUUUAAAGAACUCACUUAAUAUAGGCUGAUGAAGUUAUUAAAAUAGCUUUAAAACAACUUUUAACAUCAUAUUUAGGCUUAUUAUUUUCUGAGUAUCAUUAGAACUCCAAUUUGAAUAAAUAUUCUGAUACUCUAAAUAGAUUUCACAGUUGGGGGGUCCUUGCCCUUGACCAUUUCUGUGUUAAAAUCUUAAAACAAUAGUGAGCUAAUUGGCAUCAUAUGGAUAACUUAAAAAUAAGCAACCUGCUUAUUUUAGGAGUGAACUUACGCUCAUCCUUCCAGUUCAUGGUAUAUUUAUCCCGCAAGGUAUAGUUCAGGAAGACAUUGUACUACAGGAAGACAUUGUAAAAUGACCCUGUAGGGGCUCAUAGUUCAGGAGCUGCUGUUCUAAGACUGUUACAUGUUCUAGCUUAAUGGUGCCUCCUAACAACCCUAAGAGGUAGGUUGCCCAUCUUGAAGCACAGAUGAGGACACUGAGGCAUAGAGAGUCACUUGCUUAAGGUCAAAGAGAGACAUAAUCUCUUUUGUAGAGAGCAGCACAUCUCUACACUUCCUUGGAGUUUUGAAAGGUUUUCUUUACAUAGAGUUCUUAGGCUGACAGUUAUAAUUUCCCACUAUUAAGUGUAUGUGAAACGUGGCCUCCAGGAGGCCUAUCAGGAAAGGAUGCAGUUAUUGUCCUCCAGAGAUUUUGCAGUUCAGUAGGAGGAGUAGACGCAUCGGUGAGUAAGUGCAGAGAUGUGUUGAGAUGGCGAGAAGUGGGCUGGGGUUCAGUGAGGGCCUGGGGGGCUGUCAAGUAUCUGUAUCCUUGGCCAGGAAAGGAGCUCAGGGAAGACUUAGAGAGAUGACAUGAGCACUGCAGGCAAGGGAGCAGCGCUGGCCAAUGCCUGGAGGAGUGUGCAAACACGCAUGUGCCUGGGAGCUCAGGCAGCUGUGCGAUGACAGCAGAACCUCCUGACCGUCCCCUUUGAAGGCAUGCACACGGUAUGCUGCGGGCGGUGUGCCACCCACUGCAGGGAGUUGAGUGAUGGGUCAGGAUCCCCAGUGCUGUCCAGCUGCCUGGAUGAAGAACCCCAGGGCCUUGGCACACCAAUAGCCCAGUCAAAGCCAGAUCACCAGGCAGGAAUAGUUGAAGUGGGAGAGACAGGCAAAGGCCAUCUUGUAGAUUUGUAGAGGGCCUGUGCCACGCUGAGACAUUUGGGCUUUGUCUUGAGGUCAGGCCACACUGCUGAGGCUCUGCAGCUGGGAGGAGGUACCUCAGCUUGGCUUCUGGGAAGACUGUGGUGGUGCUCAGGAAAGGUGGGAGGUAGGUGAGGUCAGACAUACAGGCCAGUGGGGGACCUUG
rnacentral:lncRNA from 1 species